GUUUAAAUAAUUUAAUCAAAAAAUUUUGAUUUUGUAAAUCAAACUUGAAUUUUUCUUUAAACU
rnacentral:tRNA from 2 species